UCCCUGAUAGCUCAGUUGGUAAAGUAUCCACCUUCAGUGUGGGAAACCUAGGUUUGAUCCCUGGGUUGGGAA
rnacentral:tRNA from 1 species